rnacentral:misc_RNA from 1 species
GAUGAAGAACGCAGCGAAAUGCGAUACUUGGUGUGAAUUGCAGAAUCCCGUGAACCAUCGAGUCUUUGAACGCAAGUUGCGCCCGAAGCCACUAGGCCGAGGGCACGCCUGCCUGGGCGUCACACGUCGUUGCCCCCCACCAUCUACUCCUUCGGGAUUGCGGGGGGCGGAUGAUGGCCUCCCGUGCGCCUAGCCGCGCGGUUGGCAUAAAUACCAAGUCCUCGGCGACGCACGCCACGACAAUCGGUGGUUGCGAAACCUCGGUUGCCCGUCGUGUGCGUUCGUCGCGCAUCGAGGGCUCGAAAAAAUGCUCGGCUCCGGCUCGGCUUUCAACGCGACCCCAGGUCAGGCGGGGUUACCCACUGAAUUUAAGCAUAUCAAUAAGCGGAGGA